rnacentral:rRNA from 1 species
UACGUAGGGGCCUAGCGUUGUCCGGAAUUAUUGGGCGUAAAGAGCUCGUAGGCGGUGUGUCACGUCGUUCGUGAAAACCUGCAGCUUAACUGUGGGCGUGCGGUCGAUACGGGCAUCACUGGAGUUCGGCAGGGGAGACUGGAAUUCCCGGUGUAGCGGUGAAAUGCGCAGAUAUCGGGAGGAACACCGGUGGCGAAGGCGGUUCUCUGGGCCUGUACUGACGCUGAGGAGCGAAAGCGUGGGGAGCGAACAGG